rnacentral:rRNA from 1 species
GGUUAACGCUGGCGGCGUGCAUAACACAUGCAAGUCGAACGAUGAAAUUUAUUUUAAAUCUUCGGAGAUAAAAUAGAUAGAUUAGUGGCGGACGGGUGAGUAACGCGUGAGUAACCUGCCUUAGAGAUGGGGAUAGCCUCUGGAAACGGAGAAUAAUACCCAAUGACAUUACCAUUCUGCAUGGGAAGGUAAUCAAAGAUUUAUCGCUCUAAGAUGGACUUGCGUCUGAUUAGCUAGUUGGCGGGAUAAAAGCCCACCAAGGCAACGAUCAGUAGCCGGCUUGAGAGAGCGUACGGCCACAUUGGGACUGAGACACGGCCCAG